rnacentral:rRNA from 1 species
AUUGCCUUAGUAACGGCGAGUGAAGCGGCAAAAGCUCAGAUUUGAAAUCUGGUGUCAAAUUGAUACCCGAGUUGUAAUCUGUAGAGGAGUUUUUCGGAGUAUGGCUUUGGUUAAAGUUCCUUGGAAAAGGGCAUCAUAGAGGGUGAGAAUCCUGUUUGUGACCUUAUCUAUCUCCAUUAUGAAUCUCCUUCAAUGAGUCGAGUUGUUUGGGAAUGCAGCUCUAAAUGGGUGGUAAAUUCCAUCUAAAGCUAAAU